rnacentral:lncRNA from 1 species
GAGAUAAUCAUGAGCAUGAGAAAUAAUUAUAGGGUCGAGCCAUGUUAUUACAGGAGAGGGACUUUGUGAUGCUUGAUUCAGUGUGUGUUGAGAUGUCUAGGGUAUAAACGAAUUAAGUCAGUGAUGUGCUAUGUUAGUUAGGUGGUGAUUUAAUAUAGCACUCCUGCAUGUGUUUCUUUCGUCAGGUCGCACGCUCCAUU